AUUGAACGCUGGCGGCAUGCCUUACACAUGCAAGUCGAACGGCAGCACGGGUGCUUGCACCUGGUGGCGAGUGGCGAACGGGUGAGUAAUACAUCGGAACGUACCUUAUCGUGGGGGAUAACGCAGCGAAAGCUGUGCUAAUACCGCAUACGCCCUGAGGGGGAAAGCGGGGGAUCGCAAGACCUCGCGCGAUUAGAGCGGCUGAUGCCUGAUUAGCUUGUUGGUGGGGUAAAAGCCCCCCAAGGCGACGAUCAGUAGCUGGUCUGAGAGGACGAUCAGCCACACUGGGACUGAGACACGGCCCAGACUCCUACGGGAGGCAGCAGUGGGGAAUUUUGGACAAUGGGGGCAACCCUGAUCCAGCAAUGCCGCGUGAGUGAAGAAGGCCUUCGGGUUGUAAAGCUCUUUUGUCAGGGAAGAAACACCGGCUCUAACACAGUCCGGGAAUGACGGUACCUGAAGAAUAAGCACCGGCUAACUACGUGCCAGCAGCCGCCGUAA
rnacentral:rRNA from 1 species